rnacentral:tRNA from 1 species
ACGUUUGUAGCUCAAUUUGGUUAGAGCGCUACUAUGACAUAGUAGAGGUAAUCGGUUCAAAUCCGAUCAAACGUA